ACAUCCAGAGAACUUGGCAGAGAUGCCUUGGUGCCUUCGGGACCUCUGAGACAGGUGCUGCAUGGCUGUCGUCAGCUCGUGUUGUGAAAUGUUGGGUUAAGUCCCGNAACGAGCGCAACCCCUAUCCUUUGUUGCCAGCGAUUCGGUCGGGAACUCAAAGGAGACUGCCGGUGAUAAACCGGAGGAAGGUGGGGAUGACGUCAAGUCAUCAUGGCCCUUACGAGUAGGGCUAUACACGUGCUACAAUGGCGCAUACAAAGAGAAGCGACCUCGCGAGAGCAAGCGGACCUCAUAAAGUGCGUCGUAGUCCGGAUCGGAGUCUGCAACUCGACUCCGUGAAGUCGGAAUCGCUAGUAAUCGUAGAUCAGAAUGCUACGGUGAAUACGUUCCCGGGCCUUGUACACACCGCCCGUCACACCAUGGGAGUGGGUUGCAAAAGAAGUAGAUAGCUUAACCUUCGGGAGGGCGUUUACCACUUUGUGAUUCAUGACUGGGGUGAAGUCGUAACAAGGUAGGCGUAGCGAG
rnacentral:rRNA from 1 species